rnacentral:rRNA from 1 species
UACGUAGGUGGCAAGCGUUGUCCGGAAUUACUGGGCGUAAAGCGCGUGUAGGCGGCCAUGCAAGUCGGAUGUGAAAGCCCUCGGCUCAACCGGGGAAGUGCACUCGAAACUGCAAGGCUAGAGUCUCGGAGAGGAUCGUGGAAUUCUCGGUGUAGAGGUGAAAUUCGUAGAUAUCGAGAGGAACACCGGUGGCGAAGGCGGCGAUCUGGACGAUGACUGACGCUGAGACGCGAAAGCGUGGGGAGCAAACAGG